ACUCCUACGGGAGGCAGCAGUGAGGAAUAUUGGUCAAUGGGCGCAAGCCUGAACCAGCCAUGCCGCGUGCAGGAUGACGGUCCUAUGGAUUGUAAACUGCUUUUGUACGGGAAGAAACACUCCUUCGUGAAGGAGCUUGACGGUACCGUAAGAAUAAGGAUCGGCUAACUCCGUGCCAGCAGCCGCGGUAAUACGGAGGGUGCGAGCGUUAAUCGGAAUUACUGGGCGUAAAGCGCAUGCAGGCGGCCUGUUAAGUCAGAUGUGAAAGCCCGGGGCUUAACCUCGGAAUUGCAUUUGAAACUGGCAGGCUAGAGUCUUGUAGAGGGGGGUAGAAUUCCAGGUGUAGCGGUGAAAUGCGUAGAGAUCUGGAGGAAUACCGGUGGCGAAGGCGGCCCCCUGGACAAAGACUGACGCUCAGGCACGAAAGCGUGGGGAGCAAACAGGAUUAGAUACCCUGGUAGGAUAG
rnacentral:rRNA from 1 species